rnacentral:rRNA from 1 species
GACGAAGGAUGCAAGCGUUAUCCGGAUUCACUGGGUUUAAAGGGUGCGUAGGAGGGCAGGUAAGUCAGUGGUGAAAUCUCCAAGCUUAACUUGGAAACUGCCGUUGAUACUAUCUGUCUUGAAUACCGUGGAGAUGAGCGGAAUAUGUCAUGUAGCGGUGAAAUGCUUAGAUAUGACAUAGAACACCAAUUGCGAAGGCAGCUCGCUACACAUAUAUUGACUCUGAGGCACGAAAGCGUGGGGAUCAAACAGG